rnacentral:rRNA from 1 species
GGUUAAGCGACUAAGCGUACACGGUGGAUGCCCUGGCAGUCAGAGGCGAUGAAGGACGUGCUAAUCUGCGAAAAGCGCCGGCGAGGUGAUAUGAACCUUUGACCCGGCGAUGUCCGAAUGGGGAAACCCAGUGCAAUCCGUUGCACUAUCGUUAACUGAAUACAUAGGUUAACGAGGCGAACCGGGGGAACUGAAACAUCUAAGUACCCCGAGGAAAAGAAAUCAACCGAGAUUCCCCCAGUAGCGGCGAGCGAACGGGGAGCAGCCCGGAGUCUGAAUCAGCUUGUGUGUUAGUGGAACGGUCUGGAAAGUCCGACGGUACAGGGUGAUAGUCCCGUACACGAAAGCACACUUGCUGUGAACUCGAAGAGUAGGGCGGGACACGUGGUAUCCUGUCUGAAUAUGGGGGGACCAUCCUCCAAGGCUAAAUACUCCUGACUGACCGAUAGUGAACCAGUACCGUGAGGGAAAGGCGAAAAGAACCCCGGCGAGGGGAGUGAAAAAGAACCUGAAACCGUGUACGUACAAGCAGUGGGAGCCUCUUUAUGGGGUGACUGCGUACCUUUUGUAUAAUGGGUCAGCGACUUAUAUUCUGUAGCAAGGUUAACCGUAUAGGGGAGCCGAAGGGAAACCGAGUCUUAACUGGGCGUUAAGUUGCAGGGUAUAGACCCGAAACCCGGUGAUCUAGCCAUGGGCAGGUUGAAGGUUGGGUAACACUAACUGGAGGACCGAACCGACUAAUGUUGAAAAAUUAGCGGAUGACCUGUGGCUGGGGGUGAAAGGCCAAUCAAACCGGGAGAUAGCUGGUUCUCCCCGAAAGCUAUUUAGGUAGCGCCUCGUGAACUCAUCUUCGGGGGUAGAGCACUGUUUCGGCUAGGGGGCCAUCCCGGCUUACCAACCCGAUGCAAACUACGAAUACCGAAGAAUGUUAUCACGGGAGACACACGGCGGGUGCUAACGUCCGUCGUGAAGAGGGAAACAACCCAGACCGCCAGCUAAGGUCCCAAAGUCAUGGUUAAGUGGGAAACGAUGUGGGAAGGCACAGACAGCCAGGAUGUUGGCUUAGAAGCAGCCAUCAUUUAAAGAAAGCGUAAUAGCUCACUGGUCGAGUCGGCCUGCGCGGAAGAUGUAACGGGGCUAAACCAUGCACCGAAGCUGCGGCAGCGACGCUUAUGCGUUGUUGGGUAGGGGAGCGUUCUGUAAGCCGUUGAAGGUGUCCUGUGAGGGGUGCUGGAGGUAUCAGAAGUGCGAAUGCUGACAUAAGUAACGAUAAAGCGGGUGAAAAGCCCGCUCGCCGGAAGACCAAGGGUUCCUGUCCAACGUUAAUCGGGGCAGGGUGAGUCGACCCCUAAGGCGAGGCCGAAAGGCGUAGUCGAUGGGAAACAGGUUAAUAUUCCUGUACUUGGUGUUACUGCGAAGGGGGGACGGAGAAGGCUAUGUCAGCCGGGCGACGGUUGUCCCGGUUUAAGCAUGUAGGCGGAGGUUCCAGGUAAAUCCGGUACCUUAUUAACGCUGAGGUGUGAUGACGAGGCACUACGGUGCUGAAGUGAUAAAUGCCCUGCUUCCAGGAAAAGCCUCUAAGCAUCAGGUAACACGAAAUCGUACCCCAAACCGACACAGGUGGUCAGGUAGAGAAUACCAAGGCGCUUGAGAGAACUCGGGUGAAGGAACUAGGCAAAAUGGUGCCGUAACUUCGGGAGAAGGCACGCUGAUAUGUAGGUGAAGUCCCUGCGGACGGAGCUGAAAUCAGUCGAAGAUACCAGCUGGCUGCAACUGUUUAUUAAAAACACAGCACUGUGCAAACACGAAAGUGGACGUAUACGGUGUGACGCCUGCCCGGUGCCGGAAGGUUAAUUGAUGGGGUUAGCGGCAACGCGAAGCUCUUGAUCGAAGCCCCGGUAAACGGCGGCCGUAACUAUAACGGUCCUAAGGUAGCGAAAUUCCUUGUCGGGUAAGUUCCGACCUGCACGAAUGGCGUAAUGAUGGCCAGGCUGUCUCCACCCGAGACUCAGUGAAAUUGAACUCGCUGUGAAGAUGCAGUGUACCCGCGGCAAGACGGAAAGACCCCGUGAACCUUUACUAUAGCUUGACACUGAACACUGGUCCUUGAUGUGUAGGAUAGGUGGGAGGCUUUGAAGCGUGGACGCCAGUCUGCGUGGAGCCAACCUUGAAAUACCACCCUUUAAUGGCUGGUGUUCUAACGUAGACCCGUAAUCCGGGUUGCGGACAGUGUCUGGUGGGUAGUUUGACUGGGGCGGUCUCCUCCCAAAGAGUAACGGAGGAGCACGAAGGUUGGCUAAUCCUGGUCGGACAUCAGGAGGUUAGUGCAAUGGCAUAAGCCAGCUUGACUGCGAGCGUGACGGCGCGAGCAGGUGCGAAAGCAGGUCAUAGUGAUCCGGUGGUUCUGAAUGGAAGGGCCAUCGCUCAACGGAUAAAAGGUACUCCGGGGAUAACAGGCUGAUACCGCCCAAGAGUUCAUAUCGACGGCGGUGUUUGGCACCUCGAUGUCGGCUCAUCACAUCCUGGGGCUGAAGUAGGUCCCAAGGGUAUGGCUGUUCGCCAUUUAAAGUGGUACGCGAGCUGGGUUUAGAACGUCGUGAGACAGUUCGGUCCCUAUCUGCCGUGGGCGCUGGAGAAUUGAGGGGGGCUGCUCCUAGUACGAGAGGACCGGAGUGGACGCAUCACUGGUGUUCGGGUUGUCAUGCCAAUGGCACUGCCCGGUAGCUAAAUGCGGAAGAGAUAAGUGCUGAAAGCAUCUAAGCACGAAACUUGCCCCGAGAUGAGUUCUCCCUGAGAC